rnacentral:lncRNA from 1 species
AGCCUUACACGCACUUCCUUAUGGAAAGGGGCCAUGUCCCCAGAAGCCAGUUCCAGGGGCCUUGGCAGGGACUGGACAUUGCAGAGCUUGGAGAUACCGUGCUGGGCUCUACUGUGUGGAGACAGGAGGCGCAGAGAGAAACAGGACUCAUCAUUAUUAUUUUUAUGGAUCACUUUUUCCAUUGUCGUCUCCUGGCAGACCCAGGCCUGGCUUUACCACGGAACCUAGCCCUGAAGGAGAAGCAGCGUGCAUGGGAAGUGCAUCCACCUUGGGGCUGGACUACCUGCAUUCACAUUCAGGACUGGCAUUCCUUACCAUCAGGCUAAGCAGGCCACUCAAUCUCUCGGAACCUCACUUUCCUCACCAUUAAACUGUUAUCGAUCUUGC